CCUACGGGAGGCUGAACCAGCCAAGUCGCGUGAGGGAAGACGGCCCUACGGGUUGUAAACCUCUUUUGUCAGGGAGCAAGGUGCAGGUCGGGACCUGCUGUGAGAGUACCUGAAGAAAAAGCAUCGGCUCACUCCGUGCCAGCAGCCGCGGUAAUACGGAGGAUGCGAGUGUUAUCCGGAUUUAUGGGGUUUAAAGGGUGCGCAGGCGGAGGCACAAGUCAGCGGUAAAAUCGCGGGGCUCAACCCCGCUCCGCCGUUGAAACUGUGUCCCUUGAGUGCGCGAAGGGUAGGCGGAAGGCGUGGGGUAGCGGUGAAAUGCAUAGAUAGCACGAAGAACUCCGAUCGCGAAGGCAGCCUACCGGCGCGCAACUGACGCUCAUGCACGAAAGCGUGGGUAUCGAACAGGAUUAGAUACCCCUGUAGUC
rnacentral:rRNA from 1 species